rnacentral:tRNA from 3 species
AGGGUAAUAGUUAAAAAUAACAUUUGAAUUGCAAUCAAAAAGUAUUGAUAAAUCAAUUUACCUUA